rnacentral:rRNA from 1 species
AUUGAACGCUGGCGGCAUGCCUUACACAUGCAAGUCGAACGGCAGCACGGGUGCUGGCACCUGGUGGCGAGUGGCGAACGGGUGGGUAAUCCAUCGGAACGUACCUUAUCGUAGGGGAUAACGAAGCAAAAGCUGUGCUAAUACCGAAUCGCCCCGGGGGGGGAAAGCGGGGGACGCCAAAACCCCGGCGGAUAAAGCGGCCCGAUGCCUGAUUAGCUUGUUGGUGGGGUAAAAGCCCACCAAGGCGACGAUCAGUAGCUGGUCUGAGAGGACGAUCAGCCACACUGGGACUGAGACACGGCCCAGACUCCUACGGGAGGCAGCAGUGGGGAAUUUUGGACAAUGGGGGCAAACCUGAUCCAGCAAUGCCGCGUGAGUGAAGAAGGCCUUCGGGUUGUAAAGCUCUUUUGUCAGGGAAGAAACACCGGCUCUAACACAGUCCGGGAAUGACGGUACCUGAAGAAUAAGCACCGGCUAACUACGUGCCAGCCGCCGCAGUAA